AAUCAACGCUGGCGGCGUGCCUAACACAUGCAAGUCGAACGCGAAAGCCCGCAAGGGUAAGUAGAGUGGCGCACGGGUGAGUAACACGUGGACAACCUGCCUUCGAGUGGGGAAUAACCUUCCGAAAGGAGGGCUAAUACCGCAUAACACCUCGGGACACAAGUUUUGGGGUUGGAAAGAGCAAUUUGCUCGAAGAGGGGUCCGCGCCUGAUUAGCUAGUUGGUGAGGUAACGGCUCACCAAGGCUUCGAUCAGUAGCCGUCCUGAGAGGGCGACCGGCCACACUGGGACUGAGACACGGCCCAGACUCCUACGGGAGGGCAGCAGUGGGGAAUCUUGCGCAAUGGGCGAAAGCCUGACGCAGCGACGCCGCGUGAGGGAUGACGGCCU
rnacentral:rRNA from 1 species